UNGAUAUGUUGCCUACUUAUUAAAGUUCC
rnacentral:piRNA from 1 species